rfam:Canis lupus familiaris chromosome 26, whole genome shotgun sequence.
CAGAGCCCGCCAGUCGCUGAGCCAGCCGGGGCCACACCUGGGGGUGACGUCACGCCUCACCUCCAGGAGGCCCCCGGGUCUGUGUGUGGGCUCCCUGCGGCUCCUCUGCACUAACUUGCUCUCCCGCGGCUGCCUCGGGGGCUGCCCGCCUGGGGCCCCAGGCUCCAGGCUCCCGCCCGGCUCCGUGCAGCUUCGCCUCGACUAACCCCUGCCCUCCCGGUCUGUUCCUCGCAGCGGACACUAACGGCUUGUGGAUUUCUCCCUGACUAACAGCAGGUCUAACGCUCCUCGUUACCGCCCCUUUAGCAGCUUGGAUGCCGGCAUGGCUGGG